UGCAAGUGGCAGGUGGCAUAAAGACAGAGCUCUGCAACGUGAUCAAGUGGGUGACCCAGACACUGCUAAAUUAUUUUAUACGUGACAGUUGCUUGGCUAAUGAAGGUCUCCUAAGGAUAAUAUUCUCUGAUCUCUAAAGAUGGCAGCUGUUGAAGUGCUAGAGGACGUACUGGUUUCCAUUGAAAAUGAACUUCAGGCAGUGGAGAUGCAGAUUCAGGAGCUUAUGGACAGACAACAGGAACUCAUUCAAAAGAAGAAGAGGAUAAAGAAUCUGAUAAAGCAGUCCUCAGAAGACUUGGAGGCAGGUGGAAGUAAAGACAGUGAAACCUCAGCUGAGGCAUGGAACAAAAAAGAUUUUCCAUGGUAUGAGAAGAUAAAAACUGCACUGCAGAGCAAGUUUAAACUCCAGAAGUUUAGGUCCUUGCAGCUUGAAACAGUAAAUGCUGCAAUGUCAGGAAAGGAUAUAUUUCUUGUCAUGCCUACAGGGGGUGGAAAGAGCCUUUGCUACCAGUUACCAGCUGUCUGUUCUGAUGGUUUCACGCUGGUGAUAUGUCCUUUGAUAUCGCUUAUGGAAGAUCAGCUCAUGGUUUUGGAACAGCUUGGUAUUUCUGCAACUUUAUUAAAUGCCUCAAGCAGCAAGGAACAUGUGAAGUGGGUCCAUACCGAGAUGAUAAAAAGAAAUUCGCAGCUGAAGCUCAUUUAUGUGACCCCAGAGAAGAUUGCAAAAAGCAAAAUGUUCAUGUCAAAGCUAGAGAAAGCUUAUCAAGCAGGGUGUCUUGCUCGCAUUGCUGUAGAUGAAGUCCAUUGCUGUAGUCAGUGGGGCCAUGACUUCAGGCCUGAUUACAAGUCUCUUGGUAUCCUGAAAAGACAGUUUCCCAAUACUCCCUUGAUUGGAUUGACAGCAACAGCUACAAAUCAUGUUUUAAAGGAUGCUCAGAAAAUUUUGCAUGUUCAGAAGUGCAUUACCUUUACUGCAUCUUUCAACAGACCCAAUCUUUACUAUGAGGUUCGACAUAAGCCUUCAAAUAAUGAAGAUUUCAUUGAGGAUAUAGUUAAGAUCAUUAAUGGAAGAUACAAAGGACUUUCAGGAAUAGUUUACUGUUUUUCUCAGAAAGAUUCUGAGCAAGUUACUGUGAGUUUGCAGAAACUGGGAAUCAAAGCAGGCACUUACCAUGCAAACAUGGAUGCUAAAUAUAAGACCAAAGUUCAUAAAGGAUGGGCAGCAAAUCAAAUCCAGGUUGUAGUGGCAACUGUUGCUUUUGGCAUGGGAAUUGAUAAACCUGAUGUGAGGUUUGUAAUUCAUCAUUCUAUGAGUAAAUCCAUGGAGAACUACUACCAAGAGAGUGGACGUGCAGGCAGAGAUGACCAAAAAGCUGACUGUAUUUUGUAUUAUGGUUUUGGAGAUAUAUUCAGAAUCAGCUCAAUGGUAGUGAUGGAAAAUGUAGGGCAAGAGAAGCUGUAUGAUAUGGUGUCUUACUGCCAGGAUAUGAACAAGUGUCGCCGGGUCCUCAUAGCCCAUCAUUUUGAUGAAGUAUGGGAUUCUGCAAACUGCAACAGAAUGUGUGAUAACUGCUGUAGAGAGAACUCAUCUGAGAAAACGGAUAUAACAGGAUACUGCAGAGAUCUAAUCAAGAUACUUGAGAAAGCUGAAAACAUGAGUGAGAAACUCACCCCACUGAAAUUAAUCGAUGCAUGGUCUGGGAAAGGUGUAUCAAAACUCAGGGUGGCUGAAGUUACUCCACCAAAGCACCCUCGACAGGAACUGGAGAGAAUUAUUGCCCAUUUACUGCUCCAGCAGUAUCUGAAGGAAGACUUCAGCUUCACGGCAUUUGCUACGAUAUCCUACCUGAAGAUAGGACCAAAAGCAGGUCUGCUGACUAAUGAGGCUCACGUCAUCACUAUAGAAGGGAUAACAAACAAGAAAAAUGUUUACAAGGACAAACCAUCUCAGUCUUCAAAUUCAAAAGGAAGGAGAGAAAAUGCACAGACUAUUUCAAAGACUGCUCAAGAUUCAGUGGUGAAGAAGUCACAGGACCGUAAACGGCCUAACUGUGGCUCUAACUUAAAAGCAAAGAAGCUUAAGCUACAGGCAGAUGAUGACCAAACGGUAGUUCUUGACUGAGUUUCACAGACUACAUUUAGGAUCUGAUCAUGUUUGCUUCUCCAUGGAUGAUCCAGUGCGACAGGCACUGGGAAAGUCUCAGACUGGACUUAGCAGAAGAUGGGAACUGGAUUCAAGAAUGCAUGGGUUGAAAUUGAAGGCAGAAGAAUGGACAGAUGCUGGCCGUGGAAGAGAAAAGGUUGACUCUCAGGACCUGUUGUCUUUAAACUGAGUGUAUGUAUGGGAUAGAAUACUUCACUGGUUAGUUUUGGGUCACCUGUCCCGUCUGCUUCUCCCUACAAGUGUGACCCUGUUAUGGCCUUUUACUUAAGACACAAGAAGUUUAGCAGUGACCUUGGUUUCUAUAGGAUUAAGUAUAAACAAGAACCUUCUGGCCUACGUUUAUACCUGAGUAGGAACUAUAAACAUCAAGCUUUAUCAAUUCUAGAAGCUGUCUGAAAGAUAUGUCAUUAACUUCAGAAAGUGCAGUCACUUAGAAGAGACCUAACUGCAGGGUAACGUUACUAAAAGGAGACCUGAAAAGAUCAUCUGGUCCAGCCUUUUGUGGGAAAGGAAGCGUGUCCAGCUGUGUCUUGAAAAUAUCCAGUGCUGAGGACUGUACCACUGUGCUUUGGAGGUUGUACCAGUGAUUGAUUGUUCUCACUGGAAAAACUUCAUUUCUUACGUUGAAAUAACACUGAAGGAGCCCUUGAAGCAUUCAGAACAGCUGAUGUUUUUCAAAAGUAUAGGCAAGUCUCAGGGUACAUUAAAAAGUUAACUUCUGCAAUAGGUGGCUUUAGCAUAAGCUUGCUCUCCAUUCCUGCUUUUCCCAGUAAAGAACCACCUCUAGUUAUAUAAUCAAUAUCCUCUUAAAUUAGCUAUUUAAAGUGUAUCAGUGUUUUAUUUGCUCAGUCCUACCUUCUACACUGUGUAAUUUAGUAAACACCAUGUAAGUCUU